rnacentral:SRP_RNA from 1 species
GGGACCGGCGCGGCGGGGACUGUCGAACCUUGUCAGGUCCGAGAGGAAGCAGCAAUAAGGCAGAUCUACUGGGCGCCGCCGGC